rnacentral:tRNA from 1 species
CAGGGAGACAACAAAAUGUUAAAUAUUAAUUUUGUCACCUUAGGUCGAUCGGUACCUCAGAUUCUUAAAUAUCAAGAAUUUCAAUUCCUAAGUUUUUUCUAGGUCACACCCAUUACUUUUCCUGGGCCAUUAGCUCAGGUGGUUAGAGCGCACCCCUGAUAAGGGUGAGGUCCCUGGUUCAAGUCCAGGAUGGCCCAUAUCUCUAUGUUGGGGGUAUAGCUCAGUUGGUAGAGCGCCUGCUUUGCAAGCAGGAUGUCAGCGGUUCGAGUCCGCUUACCUCCACUGAUUACCACCUCUUCCAUGAUUUAAAGAAGGGAAUUGUAUUGAGUUGUGUUUUGUUCUGAACGAAUCUAGCUUCCUAAUAAACUUAUUAAGAUGCUGGACUCAUUGAAUUUAUUCAUUGUUUUCAGAGAACCUUGACAACUGCAUAGAUUUUUUUAAAGACAAUAAGCAUCGUAAUUGAUGCAGAUUUUUUAUUUGUGCUAAUGCACUUAUAAUCAAUUCUAUUGAGCUGAUGCUUCAAUUUUUGAAGUUAUU